rnacentral:misc_RNA from 1 species
AACGCACCUUGUGCUCCUUGGUAUUCCGAGGAGCAUGCCUGUUUGAGUGUCAUUUGACUUAUCAACCACUUCAAAUGUUUUUUGAUGUGGCUUGGAUGUGGGGGGUUUCUUUUGCUGGCUUUUUCUUUUACAGAAGGUCAGCUCCCCUGAAACUUAUUAGUGGUAUCUGAGCUGCUGCUAUAGGUGUGAUAAUUAUCUAUGCCUUUGGUAUGCUGCAUGAACAGAUUGCGCUGCUUAUAACAAUUGAAUUUGACAAAUCUGACCUCAAAUCAGGUAGGACUACCCGCUGAACUUAA